UGGGGGAUAUUGCGCAAUGGGGGCAACCCUGACGCAGCAACGCCGCGUGAAGGAUGAAGGUUUUCGGAUUGUAAACUUCUUUUAUUAAGGACGAAAAAUGACGGUACUUAAUGAAUAAGCUCCGGCUAACUACGUGCCAGCAGCCGCGGUAAUACGUAGGGAGCAAGCGUUGUCCGGAUUUACUGGGUGUAAAGGGUGCGUAGGCGGCUUUGCAAGUCAGAUGUGAAAUCUAUGGGCUCAACCCAUAAACUGCAUUUGAAACUGUAGAGCUUGAGUGAAGUAGAGGCAGGCGGAAUUCCCCGUGUAGCGGUGAAAUGCGUAGAGAUGGGGAGGAACACCAGUGGCGAAGGCGGCCUGCUGGGCUUUAACUGACGCUGAGGCACGAAAGCGUGGGUAGCAAACAGGAUUAGAUACCCUGGUAGUCCACGCUGUAAACGAUGAUUACUAGGUGUGGGGGGUCUGACCCCUUCCGUGCCGGAGUUAACACAAUAAGUAAUCCACCUGGGGAGUACGGCCGCAAGGUUGAAACUCAAAGGAAUUGACGGGGGCCCGCACAAGCAGUGGAGUAUGUGGUUUAAUUCGAAGCAACGCGAAGAACCUUACCAGGUCUUGACAUCCAACUAACGAAGUAGAGAUACAUUAGGUGCCCUUCGGGGAAAGUUGAGACAGGUGGUGCAUGGUUGUCGUCAGCUCGUGUCGUGAGAUGUUGGGUUAAGUCCCGCAACGAGCGCAACCCUUGCUAUUAGUUGCUACGCAAGAGCACUCUAAUAGGACUGCCGUUGACAAAACGGAGGAGGGUGGGGACGACGUCAAAUCAUCAUGCCCCUUAUGACCUGGGCUACACACGUACUACAAUGGAUGUUAACAGAGGGAAGCAAGACAGCGAUGUGGAGCAAACCCCUAAAAACAUUCUCAGUUCAGAUUGCAGGCUGCAACCCGCCUGCAUGAAGAUGGAAUUGCUAGUAAUCGCGGAUCAGCAUGCCGCGGUGAAUACGUUCCC
rnacentral:rRNA from 1 species